CAUGAAGUUGGAUUCGCUAGUAAUCGCGCAUCAGCCAUGGCGCGGUGAAUACGUUCCCGGGCCUUGUACACACCGCCCGUCAAGCCAUGGGAGCUGGGGGUGCCUGAAGUUCGUGACCGCAAGGAUCGACCUAGGGCAAAAACCGGUGACUGGGGCUAAGUCGUAACAAGGUAAC
rnacentral:rRNA from 1 species